ensembl:lncRNA
AUGUGCGCCAACCUUCCGGCACCAAUGACUCACCCGGAUCAAAGGGCCCGCGCCUUCAUUAAAGCGCAGCGCAGCCCGGGCAGGAUCCUCAGCGCAACAUCCCCCUGUGCAUGGCGAUUAACGUGGGGGAGAGGAAUCCUUAUUACUUUUUUUUUUUUUUGGCAAAUGUUCACGCUUUUGAUUUUCGAGGGGGGAGCGGUGGGAGGGAACGAGAACAAAAGAGGGAUCUUUUUACCCGGGGAUGACGUCAGGUUGAUGUUACUGACAACUACUCACGCACGGGGAGCGGCUGCGGGCAGCUCUCCUCCCCCACGGCUCCGCACACCCCCGCGCACCCCGGGCCGAGCACGGGACGCGGCCGGCUGCGGGUCACCUCGCCGGGGGCCCGCGGAGGGAGGGGGCGGAAUGGGGACAAGGCUCCGGCCUCGGCCCCGGCGCGCCCGUCGUUCCCGCAGCCCGCCAGAGGACGCGGCAGGAAAACACUCCCCCUACCCCCUCGGGCCCCACCGGGGCCGCUCGUCCUCUCCGAGGGGCGGGGCGGCGACCGUUGGGCCCCCGCCUCCGCGCUCCGCUUCCCGCGGCCGCUCCGGCCUGCGGCGUGGAGGGAGCGUCUCCGUCGGGGGAGCGGGCGGGCUGCGCGCAAAUCCCGGCCUGGAGCCGCCUGGUGCGCGGAGCGCGGUGCCUCCGGCCAGCCUGCACCUUUCCCAAGUCGCGGCGCGGUCUGCCUCAGGGUCCCGCGGCGCCCCGCAUGCCGGAGUGGCUGCCCUGCGCCCGGCGCUGGCGUGGAGCAAUGAGUUGAGCAAUGGAAAGAGAGUAGAGAGUUCCUCCUUUCUCUAAUCUGCAUCACACUUGACUCGUGCGGAAGCACCAUGCCACAGUUUUGUUCCACAGGUACGACUCAGGUUUAUCUGUCUUUUAACCAAAGUUGUUUCCACUGGAACAUUUCUUAAUGGAAACACUUCUAUCACAGUUAAGUUGGUAACAAGUUAUUUGACAGCCUAAAUUUUGAGCUAAACACAGCAGGAGCACUUUCAGCAUACUUUAUCUUACUUGUUUCCAGCCCUUCAGCACGAGAGAUUUCUUUUUCUCUCACUCAGACCUUCUAGAUCAGCAGUUUGCUCAAGAGCAGGAGGCAUCACUCCAGCCAGAGAAUCCAGUGCCUUUGCAGUCAAGUUAACUGGGAGGACAGUUGUUCUGCACCCUCACAGAUUGUGUGUGGGAUGUCUAAUGAAACUGGGUGCUAUUGUAAAUGAUAAAGGAACUUUGUUUUUUAGUGUCCAGAUUCAACUCAUUCAUCAACAUGAUGCAUUUUAUUAUCCUCAUCAGCUCAUGUGCUUUUCCCGAGGGGGGAAAAAAGUGCAAAAUCUCAUUUUAUAGAAGUCAGAAUUCCUCCUAAUUAGUAGAUCUCCUGUUUAGCCAGUACUGUGAAAGAUGUCCUUUUCACUUUAUAUUUAUAUGCUGAGAAACACAUCUGCUGCGCCAGUACAUUUUUCAGUAGCACCUUUUUGUCUGAGAUUAAAAGGAUCCACCUGUAAGUCCUGGACUGACAGACAUGCUCCUGAAGGAGAAAUUACCCUUUCAAGAUAUCCCCAAGAGCUGUAUCCAACCACAGCAUACUGUGGAUGGUACAUUUUUUUGUACAUUGCAGCUUUGCCAAUAUUCGAAUACAAGCCAUAAUUCAGUGGGAGCAUAAAUAACUUCCAUUCAGAGAGAUAGAUGCUGUGGUAGCAGGCCAAAUUGUAAGCCUUGUCAGUGCUUGCAUUUUCACUUUAUCAGCCAUGCAGGAUAAUAUGAUGCUCCUUAUUUAAAUCUUCCAUGCAGAUGUCAUACUGGGUUA